rnacentral:rRNA from 1 species
UACGUAGGGUCCGAGCGUUGUCCGGAAUUACUGGGCGUAAAGAGCUCGUAGGUGGUUUGUCGCGUUGUUCGUGAAAACUCACAGCUCAACUGUGGGCGUGCGGGCGAUACGGGCAGACUUGAGUACUGCAGGGGAGACUGGAAUUCCUGGUGUAGCGGUGGAAUGCGCAGAUAUCAGGAGGAACACCGGUGGCGAAGGCGGGGUCUCUGGGCAGUAACUGACGCUGGAGGAG